GACGUAGGGCGCGAGCGUUGUCCGGAUUUAUUGGGCGUAAAGAGCUCGUAGGCGGCUUGUCGCGUCGUCCGUGAAAACCAGGGGCUCAACCCCUGGCUUGCGGUCGAUACGGGCAGGCUAGAGUUCGGUAGGGGAGACUGGAAUUCCUGGUGUAGCGGUGAAAUGCGCAGAUAUCAGGGGGAACACCGGUGGCGAAGGCGGGUCUCUGGGCCGAUACUGACGCUGAGGAGCGAAAGCGUGGGGAGCGAACAGG
rnacentral:rRNA from 1 species